UACAGAGGUCUCAAGCGUUUGUUCGGAUUCAUUGGGCGUAAAGGGUGCGUAGGCGGCGCGGUAAGUCGGGGUGUGAAAUCUCGGAGCUUAACUCCGAAACUGCAUUCGAUACUGCGGUGCUUGAGGACUGGAGAGGAGACUGGAAUUCAUGGUGUAGCAGUGAAAUGCGCAGAUAUCAGGAGGAACACCGGUGGCGAAGGCGGG
rnacentral:rRNA from 1 species